rnacentral:rRNA from 1 species
UACGUAGGUGGCAAGCGUUGUCCGGAAUUAUUGGGCGUAAAGCGCGCGCAGGCGGUCCUUUAAGUCUGAUGUGAAAGCCCACGGCUCAACCGUGGAGGGUCAUUAGAAACUGGGGGACUUGAGUACAGAAGAGAAGAGUGGAAUUCCACGUGUAGCGGUGAAAUGCGUAGAGAUGUGGAGGAACACCAGUGGCGAAGGCGACUCUUUGGUCUGUAACUGACGCUGAGGCGCGAAAGCGUGGGGAGCAAACAGG